UUCGGGCUGCCCUGUUGGUAGGUGGGGAGGUAAUCCUGGGCCUGGGAGAUCCAAGUUCCCCUCGGUAACUUCUGGACCUCAGAAUCCGAUAGCAUGGGCAAGAGGGUAGGGGUAGGAGUCUGAGCUGCAGGAACUCACUUACCUAACGUGCUUCUGGAAAAUACUGCUGGGGUCCUGGAGUAUCUAUCCCUCCCACUGGCAUACUCAGAGGAAACCACAGAUCCUUGUUCACAUCAGGUGCUGAUUCCACAGGGACUUCCUGAGAAGGGCGGAGUGGCUCCCAGCGGACGGGAAUUAGAGACCGCCUGAGAACAGGAAACCUACCUCCUCUAUUUCUGGGUUCCCAGUGUCCUGCCCAGAGCCCAUCAUGUGGCAGAAGCUCAGGACACAAAUGUCAGGGGCAGAAGACUAAGUCCUUGCUCUGGGCAGGGGUCAGGACGUGUGCAGCUCCUUGGCCCCAGAAUUGUUUCCCUCCUGCCUCACUCCCUGGUGUAGAAUUUGGCCCAGACGCUCCCUGCCAUGUGACUUGGCAGGAGCUCCCUCUAGAGGAGGGGUAGUGAUAUAGCUGUAAAUCUCACGUUGAGGCUGGGCGCGUUGGCUCAAGCCUGUAAUCCCAGCACUUUGGGAGGCUGAGGCAGGCGGAUCACCUGAAGCCAGGAGUUCGAGACCAGCCUGCCCAACAUGGUGAAACCCUGUCUGUACUAAAAAUAUUAAAAAAAUUAGCUGGGCAUGGUGGUGCAUGCCUGUAAUCCCAGCUACUUGGGAGGCUGAGGCAGGAGAAUCGCUUGAACCCAGGAAGCAGAGGUUGCAGUGAGCUGAGAUCGUGCCACUGCACUCCAGCCUGGGCAACAGAGCGAGACUCCAUUAAAAAAAAAAAAAAACCUCAUGUUGAAAUGUGAUCCCCAAUGCUGGCGGUGGGGCCUGGUGGGAGGUGUUUGGAUCAUGGGGUGGAUUUCUCAUGAAUGGUUUAGCACCAUCCUCUUGGUGCCGUUCUUGAGACAGUGAGUGAACUCUCUCGAGAUCUUGUUUAAAAGAGUGUGGCACCUCCCUCCAUGUCUCUUGCUCCCACUCUUGCCAUGUGAGAUGCCUGCUCCCCCUUCACUUCAGUCACAAUUGUAAACUUCCUGAGGCCUUCACCAGAAGCUAAUGCUGGCACUAUGCUUCUUGUACAGCUUAGAGAACCAUGAGCCAAUUAAACUUCUUUUCUUUAUAAAU
rnacentral:lncRNA from 1 species